rnacentral:rRNA from 1 species
GGGCCCGCACAAGCGGUGGAGCAUGUGGUUUAAUUCGAUGAUACGCGAGGAACCUUACCAGGGCUUAAAUGUAGUGGGACAGGUCUAGAGAUAGACCCUUCUUCGGACUCAUUACAAGGUGCUGCAUGGUUGUCGUCAGCUCGUGCCGUGAGGUGUCAGGUUAAGUCCUAUAACGAGCGCAACCCCUAUCGUUAGUUGCCAGCGAGUAAUGUCGGGAACUCUAACGAAACUGCCAGUGCAAACUGUGAGGAAGGUGGGGAUGACGUCAAAUCAUCACGGCCCUUACGUCCUGGGCUACACACGUGCUACAAUGGCCGGUACAGAGAGCAGCGGUGAAUCCGUUCCCGGGCCUUGUACACACCGCCCGUCACACCAUGGAAGCUGGUCACACCCAAAGUCGUUAUUCUAACCGU